ensembl:snRNA U6 U6 spliceosomal RNA
GUGCUUGCUUUGGCAGCACACAUACUAAAAUCAGAAGGCCACAGAGAUGAGCAUGGCCCUUGCACACGGAUGACAUGAAAAUUCAUGAAGUAUUCCAUAUUUUU